rnacentral:misc_RNA from 1 species
GAAACCACAAGUCCCUUUACCUUUUCUCCUUCGAAACGUCGGCUCACAGUAUAGCGGUUUACGGUUCUGGAAGGAAUGAUGAACCCGUCGCUGUCAUCUGGAUCCGGUUCGAUGUGAGAUUGGGAUGCUGCGUACUUUUCCCGUUCACUGUCACGAUAGUUGUCCAGGUAUCUGGUUAUGCAUUGCCGCCUGUUGGUUACCGCUCGUAUGAAUGCAUGGCCCGUCGUUUUCUCUCGAAAAGCGUUAUGUUUGGCUUUGAUGCCGCUCAUAGGUGUGAUUAAUGCUUUUCAUCUUGACGAAGAGAUUCUCGGGUACUGUUCGCAGUGUAUUUGACAUUAGCAUGACUGCACGGAGCUUUGUUUCGGCCUGGCAAAGCUGAUGAGGUUUCAUGACUACAGUACUACUCUCAUACCGCUUCUCUUCAUCCCUUUUUUUUUGGUGCUGAUGGUUUGGGUGAUUCUUUCACCUAAUUUUGUGGAUUCUUGGCAUGCGUUUGAACCUGUGCUUCUGCCGGCAUCAAAUUACUAUUGUAG